UGAGGAACAUGACCUUCGGCGGGGGAUAGCCGGCCCAACGGCCGGGUAAUACCGCGUACGACCACAUGGGGACAUCCCUGAGUGGUGAAAGCAGCAAUGCGCCGAUAGAGUGCCUCGCGGCCUAUCAGCUAGUUGGUGAGGUAACGGCUCACCAAGGCGGCGACGGGUAGCUGGUCUGAGAGGAUGGCCAGCCACAUUGGGACUGAGACACGGCCCAGACCUNUACCGGGGAGG
rnacentral:rRNA from 1 species